GCCACACAUUCCUCAGAGGGAUGGAGAGGAUUUGGAUCCUUCUCACAGAGCAUAAAUAGUAUUAUGAAGAGCCAUUUAAGAAAUGGACAAUGGAAAUGUGGAAUCUGAGUGUGGAGAAGAAAGGCCUGAAGGCAGCAGGAUAAGAUUCUGUAUCUUUGAAUAGAAGACAACCUUUAUGUGCCUCAUGCCUGAUGCUGGUGAGACUUCCCAAUGUCCCUUCCAUGUACCUUCCCUUUACCUAAACUGGCUUAAGGGGAUAUUUGCUUCUUGCAUCGACCAAAUUCUAACUAGGAUGAAAACACCAUGGGCCAUAGCACAAGAAGUGAACCAGAAGUGAAGUUUGGUUUGGGGCUCAGUGCAUGAAGAGUUCUUUGCAAAGAAGCAGUGGAGAGGGUUCGAUCACAACCAACAGAUCUCUACUAUGAGAAUCAAGAGAUAUUUUUUUAUGAGCAUAAUGUCUGGGCUGGACAUGAGUGUGAAGUGGAAGACAAAGCUGAAGUUUCUUUUUAAAUAUUUUAUGAAAAAACAAAACAAAUUUUUAUAACAAAAUAAUAAGAAUAACAAUAGUUAAUACACUGUGUAUCAUUGUCUUCAAAGUAGUUACUCUGAGUGUAAGACAUAGACAAAAAUGAUU